rnacentral:rRNA from 1 species
UACGAAGGGGGCUAGCGUUGUUCGGAAUUACUGGGCGUAAAGCGUGCGCAGGCGGCUUCUCAAGUCAGGGGUGAAAGCCCAGAGCUCAACUCUGGAAUUGCCUUUGAGACUGAGUGGCUUGAGUACGAGAGAGGUGAGUGGAAUUCCCAGUGUAGAGGUGAAAUUCGUAGAUAUUGGGAAGAACACCGGAUGGCGAAGGCGGGCGUCCUGGACCAACACUGACACUGAGGAGCGAAAGCCAGGGGAGCAAACGGG